CGUCGAAGGUGGGGCUGAUGACUGGGGUGAAGUCGUAACAAGGUAUCCGUACCGGAAGGUGCGGAUGGAUCACCUCCUAACAGGGAGACAACACAAUGAUUUUGAUGCCUGAGUGCUUUUAUUCUUAGGCCGAAAUCCUGUCACCUUAGGUCGAUCGGUACCUCAGCUUUGAAGUCAAGGAUUAGCAGCAAUGUUGAUUGCUUGAUGGAGAUUUUCAGUUCCUAAACUUUGUCUAGGUCACACCCCAAAAGGGAUGAGACUCCUGGGCCAUUAGCUCAGGUGGUUAGAGCGCACCCCUGAUAAGGGUGAGGUCCCUGGUUCAAGUCCAGGAUGGCCCAUUCGGUGUUGGGGGUUUAGCUCAGUUGGUAGAGCGCCUGCUUUGCAAGCAGGAUGUCAGGAGUUCGAGUCUCCUAACCUCCACUGACCGAACUUGAUUCCCAUCUCCAAUCUUUUUGGAGUUGAGCUCGAUUGGAGUGUGAUUUAGAUGUGUCCGCUGGAUGACCCCAGCUUCCUGUCAUUCCAAGUUUUAGGUUAAAGCCUUGAAUUUGGUUGAUAAGAUGCUGGGCUCGGAUCAAAUGAUCAAGCAAUUGAUGAUUUGAUUUGAAGUUCUAGCAGAACCUUGACAACUGCAUAGGUGAGUCUGGAAAAAACAAAGCAUCUUACGGAUGCAUUGUUUUGAAUCCGAUCUUCUAAAAGGGAGAUUGGAUCUAGAACAAUGAAAAUUCUUUUGAGCAAGAGCCGAGACUCUUGAGCGUUCUUUGAUUGGUGUCGAGCCAAUCAGAGUUUGAUCUUGUUUUUAGCAAUAAAAACUUGAAAAUCUGCUUUCAACGGCGGUAAGCGUUCAAGAGGUUAAUUGGUCAAGCUACAAAGGGCUCACGGCGG
rnacentral:misc_RNA from 1 species